rnacentral:rRNA from 1 species
UUGCCUUAGUAACGGCGAGUGAAGCGGCAACAGCUCAAAUUUGAAAGCUGGCCCUUUUAGGGUCCGCGUUGUAAUCUGUAGAGGAUGGUUCGGCGAGGGCUCCCGCCUAAGUCCCCUGGAACGGGGCGUCAUAGAGGGUGAGAAUCCCGUAUGCGGUGGGUUGCUUUAGCCAUGUGAACCUCCUUCGACGAGUCGAGUUGUUUGGGAAUGCAGCUCUAAAUGGGAGGUAAAUUUCUUCUAAAGCUAAAUACCGGCCAGAGACCGAUAGCGCACAAGUAGAGUGAUCGAAAGAUGAAAAGCACUUUGGAAAGAGAGUUAAAAAGUACGUGAAAUUGUUGAAAGGGAAGCGCUUGCAACCAGACUUGUCCGCAGUUGCUCAGCCGGUCUCCUGACCGGCGUACUCUUCUGCGGCCAGGCCAGCAUCAGUUCGGGCGGUCGGAUAAAGGCCUCGGGAAUGUGGCUCCUCUCGGGGAGUGUUAUAGCCCGGGGCGGAAUGCGGCCAGCCUGGACUGAGGAUCUCGCUUCGGCAAGGAUGCUGGCGUAAUGGUUGUAAGCGGCCCGUCUUGAAACACGGACCAAGGAGUCUAACAUCUAUGCGAGUGUUUGGGUGUCAAACCCAUACGCGUAAUGAAAGUGAACGGAGGUGGGAACCCGCAAGGGCGCACCAUCGGCCGAUCCUGAUGUCUUCGGAUGGAUUUGAGCAAGAGCAUAGCUGUUGGGACCCGAAAGAUGGUGAACUAUGCCUGAAUAGGGUGAAGCCAGAGGAAACUCUGGUGGAGGCUCGCAGCGGUUCUGACGUGCAAAUCGAUCGUCAAAUUUGGGUAUAGGGGCGAAAGACUAAUCGAA